UCAACUUAAAAAAAUUGAAAUUUAUAAUAAUAUAAUAACAUUUUUAUUUAAUUAAUAAAAAUUAGUACU
rnacentral:tRNA from 1 species